AGCUUUGCACAGUGGGAGUAUCAUAGCCAAUGAGGUUUAUCUGAGGCACGAUUAUUGCUAGUUGAAAACUUGUCCCAUUAUAAUCAAUAUUCUGCUCAUUACAUUGCCAAAAUUUAGUCUUAUAACUGAAAGUUUGCAUCCUUUGACCAAAA
rnacentral:snRNA from 1 species